rfam:Ictidomys tridecemlineatus contig015523, whole genome shotgun sequence.
GUAUUUUUGCUUGCUGUGGCAGUACAUACAUUAAAACUGGAAUGAUACAGAGAAGAAUGGCUCUUGAGUAAGGAUGACACACUGAUUUGUGAAACAUUCCAGUGGAUC